AAAAAAAACAGUAUUAUGAGCUGACCCCAGCCGCUAAGCAGAACGAAGGGGAUGAUGUGUAGUAUAGAUCAUUAAUAUUUAAUAUACAAUAUACAUUGUGGUAAACCAACAGAUGGGGACAAAAAUGGGAGGUUAAGACAAGUAGAACAUGGAAUGAAAUGAAUGGAGGCCAGUGUAACGAACCCUGAAGUGGUAGCUAGUGGUUCGUCAGUUUUAUCCGAACGGCUAAGAGCAAGAGUGAUUAUAGCUCACCGUUCGGUUCUUCGUUCGUCUAGUUUUCCAGAGUAGAUGAAGCGCUUAAGCUGCAUUUCCCCAAAGCAGUAAUCAGAUACCCAAACACCAGGCAAAACAUGAUGAAUGGUGUAACAGGAAUGAAUUUUAUUGUGCCACACUGGCUUUUAUGCAAGUUUCAGGCCAGGGGAACACCCCCAGUCCAUUGGGCUUGGUAAUUGUAUCACAGGCAGAGGAGAGGGUUUGUGUGCAUUAGCUGGGAGUGUCUGACUGUAAUGUACUGUGUUGAUUGGCUGUUGUAACUUUGUGUCCUGUGUUCCACAAGGUCCACGUGGGUGGUAACCUUGUGGGGAAAUGUGUAUAAAAGAAGCAGCUGUAUCAUUAAACCUUCACUUCUACUUCAC